GACCACCCAUCACUGUGCCACACUGACCACUAAGCACUGUGCCAUGCUGACCCUUUGCCAGUGCCAGUGUCACACUGACCCCCUGCCAACCCUGGGUGCCACAAUGACCACUAAGCACUGUGCCACACUGACGCCCUACCAACCCUGGGGUGCCACACUGACCCUCAAACAGCCCCAGGGUGCCACACUGACCACUCAGCACUCUGCCAUGCUGACCCUCUGCCAGCACCAGGGUGCCACACUGACCACUCAGCACUGUGCCACACUGACCACUCAGCACUGCGCCAUGCUGACCCUUUGCCAGUGCCAGUGCCAGUGCCACACUGACCACUCAGCAUUGUGCCACACUGACCACUCAUCAC
rnacentral:lncRNA from 1 species